rnacentral:rRNA from 1 species
CCUACGGGUGGCAGCAGUGAGGAAUAUUGGUCAAUGGACGAGAGUCUGAACCAGCCAAGUAGCGUGAAGGAUGACUGCCCUAUGGGUUGUAAACUGCUUUUAUAUGGGAAUAAAAUGUUCCACGUGUGGGAUUUUGUAUGUACCAUAUGAAUAAGGAUCGGCUAACUCCGUGCCAGCAGCCGCGGUAAUACGGAGGAUCCGAGCGUUAUCCGGAUUUAUUGGGUUUAAAGGGAGCGUAGGUGGAUUGUUAAGUCAGUUGUGAAAGUUUGCGGCUCAACCGUAAAAUUGCAGUUGAAACUGGCAGUCUUGAGUACAGUAGAGGUGGGCGGAAUUCGUGGUGUAGCGGUGAAAUGCUUAGAUAUCACGAAGAACUCCGAGUGCGAAGGCAGUUCACUGGACUGCAACUGACACUGAGGCUCGAAAGUGUGGGUAUCAAACAGGAUUAGAUACCCCUGUAGUC